AGUUCUGAAUUUGGGGGAAGGAUCACUGGAUAAUGUUCUGUAUUCUGUGCUGGGCAGCAGUGAGUACAUCUUUACCUGCAGUGUCUUCUCUGUGGCUGUGGAAAUGCAGGAGUGAAAACAAAAUACCUGACUUGUUCACAAGAUUUCUGGUUUGAUUUAGAAGAAGCUUUGUAUCUGUCUGCCCUUCUUUUCAGCAAGAAUGGCUGCAGCUGAAUUUGAGUGAACUGCAGAAUGCAUGAAGAUUACUUUCACCCUUGAAAUUUCCCCAGGCUUCAUCUGAAUUUCAAUUUCUCAAGGCACUCUGAGUUGAGGAAUGGGAUAAGAAGACAAAUAUUUCAAAAUUCUAGCAAGAUGAAGACUUUAGAUCAGUCUUCUUGGUAAGUUUGAUCUUCAUAUUUACAGAAAGGUUUGCUUGGAUAAGAUUAAGUCGCUUACU
rnacentral:lncRNA from 1 species